rnacentral:rRNA from 1 species
UACGUAGGUGGCAAGCGUUGUCCGGAUUUACUGGGCGUAAAGAGCGCGCAGGCGGUCGUUCAAGUCGAGUGUGAAAGCCCCCGGCUCAACUGGGGAGGGUCAUUCGAUACUGAUCGACUCGAAGGCAGGAGAGGGAAGUGGAAUUCCCGGUGUAGUGGUGAAAUGCGUAGAUAUCAGGAAGAACACCCGUGGCGAAGGCGGCUCUCUGGAACGCAACUGACGCUGAGACGCGAAAGCGUGGGGAGCAAACAGG